rnacentral:misc_RNA from 1 species
GAAGGUUAGUUUUAGAAACUUAACACUCUUGUAUUUGCAAUCCAUUUUUAUUUGUCAUGUGCAUUGCAUGUGAUAAUAAAUGAUAUUUAACAUGUAAAUGUUUGUGUUAAUUAUAAAAAUAAUUGUAUUUUUUUAUUAAUAUUUUCUCAAAUAUUUUUAUAGUAAUUAUAAAUCUUAUACCCUAUCAGAAAUUUUAUAAAAUUAAAACUUCCAUUUCUAUAACAUGUUCUCUCCAUCAAUUUAUCAUUACAUGAUGAGAAAGUAUAAGAUAAUCUUGUUAGAGAUUCUAACGCUAAUACAAAUAGUGUUGACAAUAGAUUUCACACGACAAAUCAAAUUCUAAUUGAAGUUAUGGAACCCACAAUAUACUAAUAAUUAUGCAAAUGACAGUGACACUAAAUUAUUAUUUUAUAGCCAAUCAAGUUUUGGUUAUUGAUGUGGACUUGGUGUAACGCAGUUGAAUGACAAAAAAGACACAUAGGCGACCCCAACUAGUUUGGGAUUAA